UCAAAGUUAGAUGUAUUCCUCAAAAGUCAUUCGUUAUAAUUAACAACCAAAUGGAGUUGAUUCACAUUUUUUUAAUACUUAGCGUUGGUUGUUUUUCUGUAAUGUUGGCGACUGGUGAGUAAUUUAAAAAUAUAUUACUACUAUUUCGUGAAAUUGUUAUCAAUGGCCAGUACCACACAUACGAUAACGGUGAGAUAUCGAUUAUUUUAUUAUGAGGAGGGAGGCAGAUUCUUUAAAUGAAUAUUUUGAUCCACAUUAAGCUAGAAGUAUAUGAUCUUGUCUUAUCACACAAGUAGGUCAACUUAUUGGUCCCAUAAUGUCAAAAUGUCUAUUUUUAAUGAUUUGACUAGACCUAAUUAAAACUUAUCUUUAUUCGUAUGGUUUUGUUUGUCCUAUCCUUCAUAAAGUUAUCCGUAUCAUAAAAAGAAUCAUUAUUGUAGAGAACAACCAUUUGAUUAUGAUGAAAAGGCGGGAAAGGGGGGGGGGGCAGUAUUUUGUCACAUUUUGGAUUAUCAGAAAAUGAAAAUCUAGUCUUGUUCCGAGUGAAAGUAUGUUCAGAAUUAAAUGUUCGUACUCUUAAUGGUUUUAUUACACCAACAUACAUAUAUGCCCGUUCCAAUAUAGAUUAGACCGUUGUUUUUUUGAAUGGUUUUAACACUAGAUAUUUUUAGGGCCCUUAAUUUAAGCUUGCUGUUCGGUAUGAGCCAAGGCUCUGGGUUGACGAUCGUACUUUCACCUAGUAUGGUUUACUCUUUCAAGUAGUAACUGUGCUUGAGAGUUGUCUCAUUGGCACUCAUAUAAAAUCUUUUUGUAUCUUUGAACCUUAUCAUAAGAAGAUUUAAAAUAUAGAGGUUAUGAGUAUUAUCGGUGCGUUUAUUAACUCGUUCACUUAAAAUAUUGCAUCAUUCAUAUGAAAAUGAAGAUAUGUGGAAUGAUAUAUUAAUAAAAAAAAUCAAUGAGAUAUCAAUUCGCCAGAUAACAGAAAACGAAGAUGAGGAAAUGUUUAUACAAGAAGGAGAUCAUUAGAAUUACAAUAAAACAAAUAUCCGAAAGGAGGCGUAUUUUAACAAUUCUUAGUCUCGUACGGCCUUCAACAUUGAGCAAACUCCAUUUCAAAUAUUCAGCUAUAAAAAUCCGACAUGCUAAAAUAGGAAAAAAGUUCACUUGCCUCUGAUGAACGAAAUCUCUGAUACAAUAUUAUUGACAAAUCUAGACGUUUUUAUCACCGAACUGGAAUUUGUAAGUUAAAUCAAUUAGGACCAAGAUGAAAUAGAAAUAAUGAAUAUGCAGAAGAUCUCCUGAUUUCAGUAUACAUGUUAAAGGUAGAUGACAUCUAGAAGCGAUACAUCAAAUGUAUCAAAAUCAUAAUCUGAAGGCAACAUAUAUAGAACUUAAAAUGUUCAAAGUAAGAAUUCUUUGAUGCAAUACAUCAUUAAAAAUAAACAGUUUUUCUUUUAUCAUGAAAUCUAGAAGCAGGACCUAUACUUUUAUAACAAAAAUAAUGCACCACAUCUUACCAUAUUUAGCAGUGUCAAAAUUUCUUAGUUUCACUACUAGAAAUCUAGUCUUUUAUCAUAAUCAUAAGUAUAAUCUUUAAAUGGAUGCAUGGCCUUAGAAAAUAAGUCGAUUAAAUAUCUGAAAGUUAGUCAUUUUGAAAUUUUACCCAAAAGAAAUGAUUGGAGGUCGUGUGUUUCUUUUGUUUUUGCAGUUGAUAAUUAAGAACUGGUAACUAAGAGGCAAAUGUCAAAGUCGAAUUAAAAUUGAGGCUUUGAAUUAUACUACUUAACAAACAAAAAAUCUCAAAUCUCAGUAAAGGCUCAUGACGACACGUUAUUUGUUACAUUGUGCAGAACGUUACAUUUAUACAUAAUGCGUGAUAAUACAUGUAUUGGGAAUAUUUAUUUCAAUGCAUUUUAUAUAUAAAAUGUCUUAUCUACGGGGCGCCGAAUGGGACUCUUGUGGUUUUGUACAAAUUUCAAUUCUGUCAUAACAAAAUCAUUUUUGUCUAACAAAACUAUGUGAUACAGACUUGUUUUACGAGAACUUCAAUUUUAUGAUGACAAAAUUAAUUUUUGUAGACAAAAUUCAUUUUUGUCAUGAAAAGUCAAUUUUCAAAAGGUAUGCAAAUAUAAACUUAUUUGCAUACAAAAUUGACUUUUGUUACCUGAUAUGGAAAUUAAAACACAAUUUUUUUAAAGUCAAUUGUGUGAGACAAGAUUCAAUUUUUUGAGACAAAAUUCAAUUUUGUCAAUUUUGUCUCACAAAAGUCAAUUUUGUCUCACAAAAGUCAAUUUUGUCUCACAAAAGUCGAUUUUGUAUGCAAAUUAGUUCACAGAUUCCAAACUAAACUAAUUUGCAUACAAAAUUGACUUUUGUCGCCCAAUUUUCAAAUAAGGUGACAAAAGUAAAGUCUGUGUUACAAAAAUGAAUUUUGUCAUGACAAAGUAACUUUUGUCACUGAAUAGAUAAUUUUGUAUGACAAAAUUUUAUAUUGUAGUAUGGCUAAAAUUCUGUUAAACGAACUCAUUUUUGUUGAACAAAACUCACUUUCGUCCGUACAAAAUUGAAUUUACAGUACAAAACCACAAGAGUCCCAUUCGUUGCCCCAUAUUAUCUGUAUGAACGAUUGAAUUAAAUAAAAGUCCUAUUUUUGGUAAAUUUCAUUGGAUUUCAGGUAAGCCAGAUCCACCAAAAGAUGUCAGAAUACAUGUUAUCGGUAGGACAGCUAAAAUAUCAUGGACUAUUCCUACCAAUAUUGAAGGGGCAAGAUAUAUUCGGAUUUAUAUUAACGAUUCCAGAAGAGGCGAUAUAUAUUUGAAAGGCUCGUUUAAACAUAUAGAUAUGCCAAUUACCAAGUCCACCUUUGAGAUCAGCACUCUUAAGAUGUGUUCAGAAUAUUAUGUCAGAAUACAAUUUUUAAAUCCGUAUUCAGAAUUUGCCACAAAAAAAUUUUGGAUGACAA
rnacentral:lncRNA from 1 species